UGGAUGGACAGCAUUAAUGUUGGCAGCCAGGGAAGGACAUGUGGAAGUGUCUCGACUACUUCUGGAGAACAGAUGUAACAAAGAUAUCACAGAUGUAUGUUAUCUACUAAAUCUGAUCACAUUACUUUUAAUCAACACAAAAUCAUGUUGUUAAUUAGACAGGUUUAAUGAACAACUAAUAUAUUUGUAAUAAUCAUAUAAAGUGGGGUCUCAUUUUACUCGUAGUAUUGUUCUGAAUCAGAAAAUAUAACUUUUUUCAUUUUUCUUUGAAAAAUUUACUUUUAUAAAAUUUAUGAUUUUACUGAAUCUACACUAAAUCCUGUUGUUAAUCAGACAGUUUUAAUUAAUGUGACUAUUUAUUUUUGUUUAUAUUUAUUACACAACAUUGUCCAGUUUAUCAGACAAGUUUUGAUGUCAGUUGUAUUAUUCCAGGUUAGUGGAUGGACAGCAUUAAUGUGGGCAGCCAGGGAGGACAUGUGGAAGUGUCUCGACUACUUCUGGAGAACAGAUGUAACAAAGAUAUCACAGAUGUAUGUUAUCUACUAAAUCUGAUCACAUUACUUUUAAUCAAC
rnacentral:lncRNA from 1 species